UUCAAAAGUUUUUCUUUCAGAUAGUCAAGCAAGUUAUUUAAAAACCGAAGGCGACUUGUAUAAAAGAGUUCAAGCUAUAAAGAGUAGAAGACUUCAGUUUAUAAUACGAACAUAGACCAUACCGAAACUUGUUAGUAAAUUAAGGUUAUACACCAUCAUUGAAAAGAGAUUAUAUCAAAUAUUUUACAUGUCAGAAGUUUUCCAUGGAGUACAUAUUUACUUGCUUAUCGUAUAAGCACAAUAUUGUAAAAGAUUUUAAAAGAUCAAUAAAAGUAUAAAAAUUCUGCUUAUAGUGUAUUUACUUACAAUAUUAUAUAAGUAAUUACUC